UGCGCAGGCGGCCCAUUAAGUCAGGGGUGAAAUAUGACGGCUCAACCGUCAAACUGCCCCUGAAACUGAUGGGCUUGAGUUCGAGAGAGGUAGGUGGAAUUCCAGGUGUAGCGGUGAAAUGCGUAAAUAUCUGGAGGAACACCGGUGGCGAAGGCGGCCUACUGGCUCGAUACUGACGCUCAGGCACGAAAGCAUGGGGAGCGAACAGGAUUAGAUACCCUGGUAGUCC
rnacentral:rRNA from 1 species